AGGAUAAACGCUGGUGGCGUGCAUGAGACAUGCAAGUCGAACGGACGAUUCGGGCUUGCUCGAAUCGUUAGUGGCGGACGGCUGAGUAACGCGUAGGUGACCUGCCCCGAAGUGGGGAAUAACUGCCCGAAAGGGUGGCUAAUACCGCAUGUGGUCGCACGUUCGGUCGUGCGAGUAAAGCCGCAAGGCGCUUCGGGAGGGGCCUGCGUCCGAUUAGCUCGUUGGUGGGUAAUGGCUCACCAAGGCGACGAUCGGUAGGUGGUCUGAGAGGACGAUCACCCAGACUGGGACUGAGACACCGGCCCAGACUCCGUACGGGAGGCAGCAGUCCGGGGAAUUUUUGGCUUCAAUGGGCGAAAGGCCUGAAGCAGCAACGCCGCGUGAGGAUGAAGGCCUUCGGGUCGUAAACCGUCUUUUUUACCGGGACGUAGUAAUGACGGUACCCGGUGAA
rnacentral:rRNA from 1 species